rnacentral:hammerhead_ribozyme from 1 species
AUCCAGCUGACGAGUCCCAAAUAGGACAAAAUGAGCAUCAAACUGGAU